UUAUUGGGCCUAAAACCGUCCGUAGCCGGUUCUAUAAAUGCCUGGGUAAAUCGUACGGCUUAACCGUACGAAUUCCGGGUAGACCUGUUCAACUUGGGACCGGGAGAGGCUAGAGGUACUCCUGGGGUAGAGGUGAAAUUCUGUAAUCCUAGGGGGACCACCAGUGGCGAAGGCGUCUAGCUAGAACGGGUCUGACGGUGAGGGACGAAGCCCUGGGGAGCAAACGGGAUUAGAUACCCCGGUAGUCCAGGGUGUAAACGCUGCUCGCUUGAUGUUAGUCGGGCUCCGAGCCCAACUAGUGUCGGAGAGAAGUGUUAAGCGAGCUGCCUGGG
rnacentral:rRNA from 1 species